GGGGGGGGGGGGGCGGGUACUUAUGUAAGGUCAGUAAAACAAAAAGAAGAGGACAGGGUCAGGCCUUGGGGCUAGAGAGCUAAUUCUGUCAACUAGUAGAGAUUUGUAUGCUUUGUUGAAAAGAACUUCAGGAGAAAAAUCUAGAUUCUCCCAUCUUCCCUGUUUACCAGAGUAAAUUGUUCAAGUCAACCUACACUGUCUUCUAGGAAUUCUGGUCCUCUUCAAUUCUAGCAAAGAGCUUGUUGUCUCUGCUCAGGCAAUCAAGGAUACAAUGUUUCGAGUAGUAUUUGUGGAUAGCUGUAAGCUUGAUGUUUUAUUCACAGCUUAAGGAGCAACUGUGGAGUACAGCUGUUGUCCCUAUGUUGAGCUUUAACAGCUUGCCAGGUUCCUGCACCUGCUUGUAGGCCUGGACCCAAUGACUGAGCUUUAGGCAGUGUCUAGUUCAGGGACUGCUCAGGGUCAAGAAACAUCUUUAAAGGAGUGAAUUCCCUCCUUAGCCAGAUGUUAUGCUGUCGUGGCCUUGUGUUGCCAUCUCUUGGCUUACUUUCUAGAGUGGAGCAGCCUUCCUAAAGCUUAGUCUAGCUAGUCUUGUGAUGCCGCAUCAGUGUCUUAGGUCACCACUGCUCACUUCUCUCAUGCAGGGAGCAUAAUACAUCAGUUCCUCAACACCUGUUUCAUUAUUCCCUGUUCCCUUUUUUACCAGGAAUGGAGGGAUCCACAGCAGAACAUCAAAUUGACCCGAUGAGGCUUUUGCUUGAUUCUAGGUCCAUGAAAGGGAGAGGAAGGACUACGGACUCAGAAAGAGGGAACCAUAAGAUCCGCCUGUAUUAAUUAAUAUGCUAACUCUUUGGAGAUUUCUGAGAAACACAAUCCUUCCUGAAUUCUGGACUACUAAAUCUGGUGUGAAGAAAUUAUCAAUGAGGCUGAUCUGUCCCUUGAUGUGCUACCUGCUUCUGCUACCGACCCAUACUGCAGACUUCUCAUUCAUCCCCAAGGCCUCCAAGCAAUGUCCAAUAGGGAAUCGACUCUAAAAGGAACCAGACCAGACCAGACCAAAAAGUAGCUACCUCUCUGAGGAGAGGAUAGCAAACGUUCAGGACAUCAUCCUACAAAGUUCCAGUAGCAGUGACGCCUACACGGAAGACUUGGAACUGCAAACAGAGGCUGGGGUCACCUCGGUGACAUCUGACGCCGUCCAACCACAAGUUCGAUUUUUGUUCUGUGGGGCGAGAGAAAGACUGUACUAAAAGACAAAAAUAAUUUCUUAUCUAUA